rnacentral:rRNA from 1 species
UACAGAGGGGGCAAGCGUUGUUCGGAAUUACUGGGCGUAAAGGGCGCGUAGGCGGCCUUCUAAGUCGAACGUGAAAUCCCUGGGCUCAACCCAGGAACUGCGUCCGAUACUGGAAGGCUUGAAUCCGGGAGAGGGAUGCGGAAUUCCAGGUGUAGCGGUGAAAUGCGUAGAUAUCUGGAGGAAUACCGGUGGCGAAGGCGGCAUCCUGGACCGGCAUUGACGCUGAGGAGCGAAAGCUAGGGGAGCAAACGGG